CAAGGUGUUAGUGUGUUUGUUUCCAGAGCAGAAUAUUCCCGGUUCCAGACCACUUCUACCCAUUCUCCAUGCAAUGCUGUACUGAGUGAGGAA